CCUACGGGAGGCAGCAGUGAGGAAUAUUGGUCAAUGGACGAGAGUCUGAACCAGCCAAGUAGCGUGAAGGAUGACUGCCCUAUGGGUUGUAAACUUCUUUUAUAUGGGAAUAAAAUGUUCCACGUGUGGGAUUUUGUAUGUACCAUAUGAAUAAGGUUAGGCUAACUCCGUGCCAGCAGCCGCGGUAAUACGGAGGAUCCGAGCGUUAUAUGGAUUUAUUGGGUUUAAAGGGAGCGUAGGUGGAUUGUUAAGUCAGUUGUGAAAGUUCGCGGCUCAACCGUAAAAUUGCAGUUGAAACUGGCAGUCUUGAGUACAGUAGAGGUGGGCAGAAUUCGUGGUGUAGCGGUGAAAUGCGUAGAUAUCACGAAGAACUCCGAUUGCGAAGGCAGUUCACUGGACUGCAACUGACACUGAGGCUCGAAAGUGUGGGUAUCAAACAGGAUUAGAUACCCGGGUAGUC
rnacentral:rRNA from 1 species